CGACAGAUGAGGAGCUUGCUCCUCUGACGUUAGCGGCGGACGGGUGAGUAACACGUGGGUAACCUACCUAUAAGACUGGAAUAACUCCGGGAAACCGGGGCUAAUGCCGGAUAAUAUGUGGAACCGCAUGGUUCUGCAAUGAAAGACGGUUUUGCUGUCACUUAUAGAUGGACCCGCGCCGUAUUAGCUAGUUGGUAAGGUAACGGCUUACCAAGGCAACGAUACGUAGCCGACCUGAGAGGGUGAUCGGCCACACUGGAACUGAGACACGGUCCAGACUCCUACGGGAGGCAGCAGUAGGGAAUCUUCCGCAAUGGGCGAAAGCCUGACGGAGCAACGCCGCGUGAGUGAUGAAGGUCUUCGGAUCGUAAAACUCUGUUAUUAGGGAAGAACAAGUGCGUAAG
rnacentral:rRNA from 1 species